UUGGGGUGCUCGAGUGGCGAACGGGUGAGUAACACGUGAGUAACCGGCCCUUGACUUUGGGAUAACUUCAGGAAACUGGGGCUAAUACCGGAUAGGAGCUCCUGCUGCAUGGUGGGGGUUGGAAAGUUUCGGCGGUUGGGGAUGGACUCGCGGCUUAUCAGCUUGUUGGUGGGGUAGUGGCUUACCAAGGCUUUGACGGGUAGCCGGCCUGAGAGGGUGACCGGCCACAUUGGGACUGAGAUACGGCCCAG
rnacentral:rRNA from 1 species